AUUAUAUGUUAUGAUUUCAGGUC
rnacentral:snRNA from 1 species